rnacentral:rRNA from 1 species
GAUGAACGCUGGCGGCGUGCCUAAUACAUGCAAGUCGAGCGAACAGACGAGGAUCUUGCUCCUCUGACGUUAGCGGCGGGCGGGUGAGUAACACGUGGAUAACCUACCUAUAAGACUGGGAUAACUUCGGGAAACCGGAGCUAAUACCGGAUAAUAUAUUGAACCGCAUGGUUCAAUAGUGAAAGACGGUUUUGCUGUCACUUAUAGAUGGAUCCGCGCCGCAUUAGCUAGUUGGUAAGGUAACGGCUUACCAAGGCAACGAUGCGUAGCCGACCUGAGAGGGUGAUCGGCCACACUGGAACUGAGACACGGUCCAGACUCCUACGGGAGGCAGCAGUAGGGAAUCUUCCGCAAUGGGCGAAAGCCUGACGGAGCAACGCCGCGUGAGUGAUGAAGGUCUUCGGAUCGUAAAACUCUGUUAUUAGGGAAGAACAAAUGUGUAAGUAACUAUGCACGUCUUGACGGUACCUAAUCAGAAAGCCACGGCUAACUACGUG